rnacentral:rRNA from 1 species
UACGUAGGUCGACGAGCGUUGUUCGGAUUUACUGGGCGUAAAGGGCGCGUAGGCGGUGCGGUAAGUCACUUGUGAAAUCUCUGAGCUUAACUCAGAACGGCCAAGUGAUACUGCAGUACUAGAGUGCGGAAGGGGCAAUCGGAAUUCUUGGUGUAGCGGUGAAAUGCGUAGAUAUCAAGAGGAACACCUGAGGUGAAGACGGGUUGCUGGGCCGACACUGACGCUGAUGCGCGAAAGCCAGGGGAGCAAACAGG